UCUCAGCUACUCAGGAGGCUGAGGCAGGAGAAUCGCUUGAACCCGGGAGGCGGAGGUUGUAAUGAGCCGGAAUCACAGCACUGCACUCCAGCCUGGGCAACAGAGCAAGACU